GCUUGCACAAAGCCCUCGGGUUCGGCUCCUGGAGCGGGGUCUGCCCGUGGGUUUGUGAUCGUGUGGAGGGGGACCGAGAGAUUUCAAGUGCGAAAUAAGGGAGGUGAGUGUAAAGGACUCAGAAAGAAUGCGGUGCUGCAGAGGUCACGGUUGAGAGCCGGGUUCUGGGGUUUAGGUUCCCACCGGUCCAAUCUCUGUGUGACCUUGACCAAGCGCCGGGACCCCUCAGAGCCUUCGUUUCUCCCUUGUUAAGCACUGAUGGUACAGCACUAAAAGACACGCUAUUUUCUUUGCUGGAGGAAGCUUACCUCCUAACUGAAUACUCACUGGAUACAGAGACAAGGAAACAUACCAGUUCAAUAGUGUUGGGCCUCCCUCUUCCCUGAGACACAACAAUAUUGAAAUUAGGCCAGUUAAUAAUCCUACAAUGGCCUCUAAGUGUCCACAUGAAAGGGAGAGUCUCAUGUCUCUCAUUUUAAGUCAAACACUAGAAAUGAUGAAGCUUAGUGAGGAAGGCAAGUCAAAAGCAUAGAUAGGCCAAAAGUCAGGCCUCUUGCACCAAACAGCCAAAUUGUGAACACAGAGGAAACAUUCUUGAAGAAUAUUACAAGCGUUGCUCCAGUGAACCCAUAAAUGAUAAGAAAGCGAAACAACCUUACUGCUGAUAUGGAGAAAGUGUUAGUGGUCUGGAUAGAAGAUCAAACCAGCCACAACAUUCCCUUAAGCCAAAGCCUAAUCUAGAGCAAGGUCCUAACUCUCUUGUAUUCUAUGAAGGCUGAGAGAAGUGAGGAACCUGCAGAACAAGAGUUUGAAGCUAUCAGAGGUUGAUUCACGAGGCUUAAGGAAAGAAGCCAUCUCUGUAACAUAAAAGUGCAAGGAGCAGCAGCAAGAGGUGAUAUAGAAGCUGCAGCAAGUUAUCCAGAAGAUCUAGCUAAGAUAAUUUAUGAAGAUGGCUAUACCGAACAAGAGAUUUUCAAUGUCGCUAAAACAACUUUCCCUUGGAAGAAGAUGCCAUCUAGGAUUUCCAUAGCUAGAGAGGAGAAGUCAAUAUCUGGCUUCAAAGCUUCAAAGGACAGG